rnacentral:rRNA from 1 species
UUAUACAGCGAAACUGCGAAUGGCUCAUUAAAUCAGUUAUCGUUUAUUUGAUAGUACCUUACUACUUGGAUAACCCGUGGUAAUUCUAGAGCUAAUACAUGCUAAAAACCCCGACUCACGAAGGGGUGUAUUUAUUAGAUUAAAAACCAAUGCCCUUCGGGGCUCUCUGGUGAUUCAUAAUAACUUCUCGAAUCGCAUGGCCUUGUGCCGGCGAUGGUUCAUUCAAAUUUCUGCCCUAUCAACUUUCGAUGGCAGGGUCUUGGCCUGCCAUGGUUACAACGGGUAACGGAGGGUUAGGGCUCGACCCCGGAGAAGGAGCCUGAGAAACGGCUACUACAUCCAAGGAAGGCAGCAGGCGCGCAAAUUACCCAAUCCCGAUUCGGGGAGGUAGUGACAAUAAAUACUGAUACAGGGCUCUUUUGGGUCUUGUAAUUGGAAUGAGUACAAUUUAAAUCCCUUAACGAGGAACAAUUGGAGGGCAAGUCUGGUGCCAGCAGCCGCGGUAAUUCCAGCUCCAAUAGCGUAUAUUAAAGUUGUUGCAGUUAAAAAGCUCGUAGUUGAACCUUGGGCCUGGCUGGCCGGUCCGCCUCACCGCGUGCACUGGUUCGGCCGGGCCUUUCCCUCUGGGGAGCCUCAUGCCCUUCACUGGGUGUGUUGGGGAACCAGGACUUUUACUGUGAAAAAAUUAGAGUGUUCAAAGCAGGCCUAUGCUCGAAUACAUUAGCAUGGAAUAAUAGAAUAGGACGUGUGGUUCUAUUUUGUUGGUUUCUAGGACCGCCGUAAUGAUUAAUAGGGACAGUCGGGGGCAUUAGUAUUCAAUUGUCAGAGGUGAAAUUCUUGGAUUUAUUGAAGACUAACUACUGCGAAAGCAUUUGCCAAGGAUGUUUUCAUUAAUCAGGAACGAAAGUUAGGGGAUCGAAGACGAUCAGAUACCGUCGUAGUCUUAACCAUAAACUAUGCCGACUAGGGAUCGGACGGUGUUAUUUUUUGACCCGUUCGGCACCUUACGAGAAAUCAAAGUCUU